rnacentral:rRNA from 1 species
UGGGGAAUCUUGCACAAUGGGGGCAACCCUGAUGCAGCGACGCCGCGUGAGCGAUGAAGCCCUUCGGGGCGUAAAGCUCUUUCGACCGGAACGAUAAUGACGGUACCGGGAGAAGAAGCUGCGGCUAACUACGUGCCAGCAGCCGCGGUAAUACGUAGGCAGCAAGCGUUGUUCGGAGUUACUGGGCGUAAAGAGUGCGUAGGCGGUUUUCUAAGUUCGGUGUGAAAUCUCCCGGCUUAACUGGGAGGGUGCGCCGAAGACUGGGAAGCUGGAGUGUGGGAAAGGCAGGCGGAAUUCCUGGUGUAGCGGUGAAAUGCGUAGAUAUCAGGAGGAACACCGGCGGUGUAGACGGCUUGCUAGACCAUAACUGACGCUGAGGCACGAAAGCGUGGGUAGCAAACA